rnacentral:sRNA from 1 species
UCUUUUACAAGUGCCAUUUUUCAUUUUUC